rnacentral:rRNA from 2 species
ACGUAUGGAGCAAGCGUUAUCCGGAUUUACUGGGUGUAAAGGGAGUGUAGGUGGCCAGGCAAGUCAGAAGUGAAAGCCCGGGGCUCAACCCCGGGACUGCUUUUGAAACUGCAGGGCUAGAGUGCAGGAGGGGCAAGUGGAAUUCCUAGUGUAGCGGUGAAAUGCGUAGAUAUUAGGAGGAACACCAGUGGCGAAGGCGGCUUGCUGGACUGUAACUGACACUGAGGCUCGAAAGCGUGGGGAGCAAACAG